AAUAAAUUGUUUAAAAAUUCAAUUGAUUUUAUUAUUCUGAAAAUUCUUGUAAAAUUUGUGUUUCUUUAAAAAUUAAUUUAGACUCUUUAGGCAAAAUUUUACUUUAUUGAAACGUUAUACCAUAAAAGAUUUAGAUUAUGUUAACUUUUCUAACAAUUUGUUUAAGUAGGUAACUAUUUUUUUAGAUUCUGAGUGAUUUGUUCCGAUUUUUACGUGUAGUAACUUUUCUGAGAGGAAAUUUCACUGUAGAAGUACUUUAAAGUAGUCGUUUUUAAAUUUUUUCCGGAGUUUUCUCAACAAAUGUGAAAAACCAAAAAAAACGGAGGGAAAACGGAAUCCAUUUUAAUUUUGGAAUUGGAAUCAUUGUAAUUUUACCAUAAUAUGACACAUGUAUUGUUGACAAAGCAGCACUAUCAACUGAACUCUGCUCAGAAUCGUUUUUUCGUUAGCAAUAGUUUAUCGUUGCUUACAGGUGUACUUUAAAUUACUUUUAACAAUGGCUGCACCAUUAUCCUAGGAUGUCUUUUGAAUUGACACGUUAAUGUGAAAGGGGCAACUUCACGCAUAUAUGGUAACGUAUGUAACUGAAUUUGCUUCAAAGCCGUUUUACGUUUGAACUAAUUUAUGAUUGAAUACAGUCAUAUAUUAAAUUAAUUUUUGUAUAAUGUAUAUCUUACAUUCUCAAUUUACAACAGCAGCUCAUCCAUGGUAAAAAGUAUGUCAGUUUUUUCAGUCAAAUUUUUUACUAUCUUUAAUUUGUUCAAGUUUUUGUUUUGCCCUAAUAUUAGUAGCAUAUUAUGUAUUUUUUUCCAGUUCACACUAGGCCAACAUUGCAAAUCCAUUAAAUUGAUUAUAAGGGUUACAAUAUUUAGUUAUUAAAUAAUAUGGAUUAUUUGCCGUAUAAAAUUGAUGGUAUUUUUAAGGCUGGGCAAGUUAAUAAUAUUUUAAGUAUUUUGAGUGAGUACGUUUUUAAAUUUAUUGUAAUAUUCAAUAAUAAAUAUACCUUUGACAUAGUAUUUCUUAGAUAUGUUUUCAUUUCCUGUAAAAAAGAAAACAUAAUAUUAGUUCUGUAGCGGUAAA